rnacentral:tRNA from 1 species
UCCCUGGUGAUCUAGUGGUUAAGAUACCAUGUUUCCAGUGCAGGAGAUAUGGGUUCAAACCCUGGUCAGGGAA